rnacentral:lncRNA from 7 species
AUUCACGGAGGUACUCUAUUCUGUUCCCUGCAGGACUCAGACACCUGGGCUCUAACAGUGAUCUGUCUUGAACAGCAAGAGGAGAGCUGAAGACAGCAGGUUUAGUAAAGGGGCAGCACCAAUUUUUCCAGCUGGCACAUUGCACUAAAUAACCAAUUCUGUGCCAGAAACGUUCAGAAAGCCAGUGAAGGAAGAAGUAACAUCAACUUCAGCCUCCAGCCACUCCCAUUAGUACAUCUGGGAGAACACAGUCACAUUUCUGAGGAGAAAGAGACAUCUCUUAAAGAGAAAGAUCCUCUGACUUUAAUGAACACUACAUACAGCAUAAUGCUACAAAGUGGCAUUCUUACUAGAAUUUUAAGACUGGCCUUCCCUAUAGAACACUGGACCGAGUUCACAGAUAUUUCAUCAGAUAAAUCUGGUGUUUUGGUUCAGCCUUUAAUG